AAGCUGUGUAGACCUUUAGGAGCUUGUCAUGCGGUUAGAAUCAAGAUCCACUUGCACGUUCACUCAUAUGUGCUGCUUCUAUCCCAGAAGUACCCAUCCACAUACAUCCACUCAUUUCCAUCUCCAGAUCCACCUAAAUUUAUUCCACUCCUACCCGGGAGAGAAUAACCAAAAACAUUCUCCUAUCCCUGUUAUUCCCUAUGAAAUAAAUGCUCAAGUUAUCUUGGUUACUACCACUUGCUAUAUUAUUCCAGGGAGAUGAGUGCUCUGAAAAAAAUGAAUACGAUUAAAUAAGAAAGGGCAAGUGCCCGGAUCCUCGAAGAAAAGAAAAUGUGCGACGAGAGGUAAAAAUGGACAAGUGUCCGACAGUAGAAUUAGGGGUACAAGAUACAAACCUGAGAGAAAAGAAAAAACAAUAUAGAGCAUCUCAUUCUCCUCAAAAAGCUUCAAAGUGCAAGGAAGGUAUGUAUCCCCUUGAAAGAGCAAAAGUAGAAUUAGACUUUCACCAUUCUUAUCACCAUCAUCACCAUACACCAUUCAUUCACCACACAUGCACAUCUUGAUUUGACUUAUUGACUUGUUUCUCUGGAUCCAUGGUUUGACUAUGCAAUAAAUGUCUUGUAAGUAUGUAUACUUUAUCUCCCACCUAUGAGCUCUAGAUAUCAAAGCCUUAUUAGAGUAGGAU
rnacentral:lncRNA from 1 species